UGGGGAAUAUUGGACAAUGGGGGCAACCCUGAUCCAGCCAUGCCGCGUGAGUGAAGAAGGCCCUAGGGUUGUAAAGCUCUUUCAGGUGUGAGGAUGAUGACAGUAGCACCAGAAGAAGCCCCGGCUAACUUCGUGCCAGCAGCCGCGGUAAUACGAAGGGGGCUAGCGUUGUUCGGAAUUACUGGGCGUAAAGGGCGUGUAGGCGGAUGAUCAAGCUAGGGGUGAAAGCCCAGGGCCCAACCCUGGAACUGCCUUUAGAACUGAUUGUCUAGAAUCCGUAAGGGGAGUGUGGAAUUCCUAGUGUAGAGGUGAAAUUCGUAGAUAUUAGGAAGAACACCAGUGGCGAAGGCGGCACUCUGGUACGGUAUUGACGCUGAGGCGCGAAAGCGUGGGGAGCAAACAGGAUUAGAUACCCUGGUAGUCCACGCCGUAAACGAUGUCUGCUAGCCGUUUGGGCACUUAGUGUCUGGGUGGCGCCGCUAACGCAUUAAGCAGACCGCCUGGGGAGUACGGUCGCAAGAUUA
rnacentral:rRNA from 1 species